ACAAAUAUUAUUGAUUUCAGUUGUUUUUUUUUAUAUACUCGCAAGUAUAAGAAUGCUUAAAAAUCUUCACACGCUAGAUUAAAAGUCGUAAAAUUCUGACAUAAAAGACGAUAAAAAUUCCUAUAUGAUUAAUUACAAAGGUAUAUUGAUUUAGUUAGGGUCGUUUAACCGUAAAGGAUGGCAUUUUGACCUUGGAGUAACUAUAUAAGUACUUAAUUCAUGAAACACUGAAAUAUUUGUGGAAAACGGUGACAGCACCUACGUAUAGACCGAUUUAUUCUGUAAACUAGGUGUGUUCACUGUUCAAUGUCA